GCCCUAGUAGCUCAGUUUUAGAGCGCCGGUCUUGUAAUCCGGAGGCCUGAGGUUAGAAUCCUCCCUAGUGCU
rnacentral:tRNA from 1 species